GGAAGCCGUUGCAGAGUGAGGAAGAGGAAGAGGGAGGGUGAGAAUGAGAGGGGGAGGAAGAGUGAGAGGUAGGGGUAGAGCUGGUAGAGGAGUUCAUGGCCAAAGAAGACAACAACUUUCAAAUGAAAUCAGAGCAACCUUAGUUGAUCAUGUCAUCAACCAUGGGCUGACAAUGCGAGAGGCUGGACAGAGAGUGCAGCCCAACUUGAGCCGUUUUACUGUCGCCUGUGUCAUCCGGACAUUUAGACUGGAGUACAGGACUGAGAGACGCAACCAUGGUGGAGGAAGGGGCCAAAUGUUCACCGGGUUAAAGGAAGCUGCCAUUGUAAAAUUGGUUUUGGAAAAUAAUGAAAUCAGAUUACGAGAAAUUCAAAGCCACAUCAUCCAAGACAACACCAUAUUCAACAACAUUCAACGAGUCAGUCUGUUCACAUUGACUCGCAUUCUCAAGCGAAACCAAAUCAGAAUGAAACAACUUUAUAAGGUGCCGUUUGAGAGAAACUCUCAAAGAAACAAAGAGUUCAGACGAGCAUAUGUGGAUGGAGUACUGGAAAUGGAUGCUCAUGCAAUCCCACAUGAGUUCAUCUUUAUAGAUGAGGCUGGGUUCAACCUAGCAAAGACCAGAAGAAGGGGGAGAAACGUCAUUGGCCACAGAGCCAUUAUAGAUGUUCCUGGCCAACGUGGUGGGAACAUCACAAUGUGCACUGCCAUCUCCAAUACGCAUGGUGUCCUCCACCGUCAUGCCAACCUUGGACCAUACAACACAGCCCAUAUUCUCACAUUUCUGGACAGACUCCACAACAUUCUCAUACCAC